ACACAAAUUUUAAAUAAUUUUUUGUAGCUCACUAUAGUAGUAUUGAAGCAUACGAGGUAAAUUCCCUCUCGAACCAAAGUAUCAAAUUUUAUGCUAGUCUCCCCUAAGUUCAGAUCUAAUGAGCGCCAAGUUUUAUGUAACACAUUUUAAAGUAAUGGUUCGAGAAUAUUCGGGAUACGCGAAGCUGAUGAGUUUUUCUCGGAUAAAACUUUAAGACAAUUUU